AUACGGAGGGUGCAAGCGUUAAUCGGAAUUACUGGGCGUAAAGCGCGCGUAGGCGGUUUGAUAAGUCGGAUGUGAAAUCCCCGGGCUCAACCUGGGAAUUGCAUUCGAUACUGUCAGGCUAGAGUGUGGUAGAGGGAAGUGGAAUUUCCGGUGUAGCGGUGAAAUGCGUAGAUAUCGGAAGGAACACCAGUGGCGAAGGCGGCUUCCUGGACCAACACUGACGCUGAGGUGCGAAAGCGUGGGGAGCAAACAGGAUUAGAUACCCCAGUAGUCC
rnacentral:rRNA from 1 species